UCCGCUAGAUCAACUUUGGUCCAA
rnacentral:siRNA from 1 species